CUUAUGAAGAGUGGUUUAGGGACAGGCCCGAUGAUGCCACGGCAACCUGCUGAUAGCAGCAAGGUGCUAAAUCCUGCGGAUAUUUCCGGAAGAUAAGG
rnacentral:ncRNA from 1 species